UCUCAUCGUGCCUACUCAAACCCAAGUCCAUCGGCCCACUAUCCUACAUUCCUACAGGACCAAUCCCCUACUUCGCCGUCGGCCCACCUUUCACCCUACCUUAUUUCUUCACCGAUUGCCUCUUUCUCACUAAACCCAUCUAAUCUAAAUGCAGCCGACACCUCUCAUCUUUCCUCCUCCUCCUCUUCUUCUUCAACAAGUUCUUUAUCGAUCUUCCAUCCAGACACCUUAGCCAUAAACUCCCGCUCAAAUACCAUCUCUUUACCCUCUCAUCCUAUGACAACUCGGGCUAAAGUGAAUAUAUUCAAUCAAAAAAUCCUUCUCUCCACAUCUUUGAUUGACUGGUCAUUAAUGGAACCUACGAGGGUUAAGGAUGCUUUGGCUACUCCCUCUUGGAAACACUCGAUGAAUGAGGAGUAUAAUUCUCUAGUAAAAAAUCAAACAUGGCACCUAAUUCCACCAUCUUCAGAUUUAAAUGUGAUUGGCAGUAAGUGGGUAUUUUGAAUUAGAAUUAAGAGGAAUUCAAAUGGGACGAUCCAACGGUAUAAGGCACGUCUUGUUUCCAAGGGAUUUCAUCAAAACCCGGGUGUUGAUUUCUUUGAAACAUUCAAUCCGGUGGUUAAAGCUACGAUAACACGAGUAGUCCUCAGCUUAGCAGUUUCGAAAGGUUGGUAUUUAAGACAGCUUGACUUUCAUAAUGCUUUUCAUAAUGGCAGUUUAGCAGAGGAUGUCUACAUGAUUCAGCCUUCCGGGUAUAUUAAUUCUACUUUUCCCAACUAUGUCUGCAAAUUGGAUAAAGCGAUAUAUGGUUUGAAACAAACACCUCGUGCUUGGAAUACUGCUCUCACCAAUGAACUGUUGAGGCUUGGUUUCCUUAACUCAAAAUCUAAUUCCUCUCUUUUUAUCUUCAGAAAGCAUAAUUCUGUCAUUCUUUUUCUGGUUUAUGUGGAUGAUGUGAUAGUUACGGGCAAUAAUUUUGUUGAACUUGGUAGAUUGAUAAUCAUGUUGGAUGCUAAAUUUGCUUUAAAAGACCUUGGGCCUCUGCACUAUUUUCUUGAAUUUCAGAUCUAAUAUCUUGAGUCUGAGUUUAUUAUGAAUCAAGAAAAAUAUGUUAAUGACUUAUUACGUAAGCUUCAACACUGACUUAAAACCAACACUGUCCCCAAGUGUUCUAGGCAAGCAUCUAUCCAUUACUGAUGGCACACCUUUAGAGGACCCAUUUUUAUAUCAAAGUACUCUUGGGGCUCUUUAAUAUCUCACUAAUACUCGUCCUGAUAUAUCCUAUAUAGUAAAUCAUCUUAGUCAAUUUUUGUAGAAACCUAUUGAUCUUCAUUGGCAGGUUGUUAAACGGGCACUUCGAUAUAUCAGUGGUACUAAGCAUUAUGGCCUUUUAUUUCAACCAAAUAUUGACUUGUCUAUAACUGCUUUCUCUGAUGCCGACUGGGCUUCAAGUAUUGAUGAUCGCAAGUCAGUUGCUGCAUACUAUGUAUUUGUAGGUCCAAACUUGGGGUAAUUGAAUUAUCCUCUCGUUUGAGGGAGAAUAUUAGAGAGGUCGCCACACAAUCAAUACACAUGGAUCCUCAGCAAAUGCCACCUCAACAUCCUCAUAGAAUUAUCAUAAAAUUCUAGAACACUCAAAUGGUUAAAAAUUGGUUGGAGGAAUAUUUCCUCAACCAAUGUCAUGCUUACACUUGUAUAAAUUGUAUUGGGUCUUUCCAAUUAUUUUAUUAUUUUCCUUUCCAUCAUUAUAGGAUUUACCACCGUAAAAAUUUGUCCUUAUCUUCAUUCAUUAAUACACAAGAGAAAAGACAAAAAUAUUAUCUCAUCUAAA